rnacentral:rRNA from 1 species
CUCCUACGGGAGGCAGCAGUGAGGAAUAUUGGUCAAUGGUCGGCAGACUGAACCAGCCAAGUCGCGUGAGGGAAGACGGCCCUACGGGUUGUAAACCUCUUUUGUCGGAGAGUAAAGUACGCUACGUGUAGUGUAUUGCAAGUAUCCGAAGAAAAAGCAUCGGCUAACUCCGUGCCAGCAGCCGCGGUAAUACGGAGGAUGCAAGCGUUAUCCGGAUUUAUUGGGUUUAAAGGGUGCGUAGGCGGCACGCCAAGUCAGCGGUGAAAUUUCCGGGCUCAACCCGGAGUGUGCCGUUGAAACUGGCGAGCUAGAGUACACAAGAGGCAGGCGGAAUGCGUGGUGUAGCGGUGAAAUGCAUAGAUAUCACGCAGAACCCCGAUUGCGAAGGCAGCCUGCUAGGGUGAAACAGACGCUGAGGCACGAAAGCGUGGGUAUCGAACAGGAUUAGAUACCCUGGUAGUCCACGCAGUAAACGAUGAAUACUAACUGUUUGCGAUACAAUGUAAGCGGUACAGCGAAAGCGUUAAGUAUUCCACCUGGGGAGUACGCCGGCAACGGUGAAACUCAAAGGAAUUGACGGGGGCCCGCACAAGCGGAGGAACAUGUGGUUUAAUUCGAUGAUACGCGAGGAACCUUACCCGGGCUCAAACGCAGGGGGAAUAUAUAUGAAAGUAUAUAGCUAGCAAUAGUCACCUGCGAGGUGCUGCAUGGUUGUCGUCAGCUCGUGCCGUGAGGUGUCGGCUUAAGUGCCAUAACGAGCGCAACCCCUAUUGACAGUUACUAACGGGUGAAGCCGAGGACUCUGUCGAGACUGCCGGCGCAAGCCGCGAGGAAGGUGGGGAUGACGUCAAAUCAGCACGGCCCUUACGUCCGGGGCGACACACGUGUUACAAUGGCAGGUACAGAAGGCAGCCAGUCAGCAAUGACGCGCGAAUCCCGAAAACCUGUCUCAGUUCGGAUUGGAGUCUGCAACCCGACUCCAUGAAGCUGGAUUCGCUAGUAAUCGCGCAUCAGCCAUGGCGCGGUGAAUACGUUCCCGGGCCUUGUACACACCGCCCGUCAAGCCAUGGAAGCCGGGAGUACCUGAAGCAUGCAACCGCAAGGAGCGUACGAAGGUAAUACCGGUAACUGGGGCUAAGUCGUAACAAGGUAGCCGUACCGGAAGGUGCGGCUG